GCUGGGUGUGGUGGCUCACUCCUGUAAUCCCAGUACUUUGGGAGGCCGAGGCGGGUGGAUUGCCUGAGCUCAGGAGUUCAAAACCAGCCUGGGCAACAUGGCAAAAACCUGUCUCUA
ensembl:misc_RNA Metazoa_SRP Metazoan signal recognition particle RNA